rnacentral:tRNA from 1 species
GUCGCCAUAGCUCAGCUGGGAGAGCGCCGGUCUGUCGAACCGGAGGUCGCGGGAUCGAGGCCCGCUGGCGGCGCCA